GCUUGUUCGCUAACAGUGUCGCGCUCUGUAGAGCGCGACACUGUUAGCGCGAACAGUCG
rnacentral:pre_miRNA from 1 species